rnacentral:rRNA from 1 species
CGCAACUCCCUAAAAUGAUAAAAGAAAUCAGCAGUUAGGGCCACCGCCGCUCGGCGCCUCGGCAACAGCAGUCGAUCUCCCGCCGCCGUUUGGCCCAGCCAGAGCCAUCGUCGUCGCUCGCCCCCUCUACCAUAGAUCUCACGCCGUCGCGCUCCCCCGGCCAAUGAUCUGACGCUGCCGCAACUCGCCCCCAGCCCGAACUCCGGCGUCGCCCGACUCUGAUCCCCCGCCGGCCCUCCGGCCAGAGCUCCACCGCCGCUCGACCACUCCUCCUAGACAAGUUCCCCCGCCGCUUGACGCUGGUCGCCUCCCUACAGCGCAAGCUCCUCUGCCACCUGACGCCGGUCUGCCCCAGGCCAAGCUCCCCGAUCCCCUGACGCCGGUUGCAGCCCGACAUCGCUCCCCCCAAUGCCAGGCUCCGCCGGUUGUAGCCCGACACCGCUCCCCCCAACGCCAGGCUCCGCCGGCCGCAGAAUACUCUACCCGGACGACUCCUCUCUCACUUUGCUGCCGACCUUGGCAAUGAGCUCGCCGACACACCUCUGCUGCUAGGAGCUUGUCCACAGGUUGUUCUUCUCAUUUUUCUAUCUCCAUAUCAUGUGAAAUAUAGCUCAAAUUGCGAUAUGUCACCUCUGUUUUCCCUUUCUGUCUUUGCAGUGAUACACUGUAUUGGUGAAAUUUGACAAAUGUUGAUAAAAUCAGUGAAUACUUUUUGGUGAUUGGAUGAGAAUUGUUGUUAAAAACAGUGCGGACUGUUGAUUCGAUGGCAAUUGUUGAUGACAUGAUAUUUUUUGAAGUUGAUCUGGUUAGGGGGAGCUGCAUAUGUCAUGCCACACAAGAGUAUUUUUCUUUUUUUAGCAAGAGAAACCACUGGAUAUUACUUAGAUUUUUAGUAACUGGUUAUACCAGCUAGCCUUCUGUUCUGCUGUUUCUCAAGCAUUGGGGAAUAUACAUCCAUAUUUGUCAUUUAUGAUAUUUUCUUUAUGUACUUCACAAAAUUCUAUUACUCUAGUAAAGACACAUCUCCACUUAUGUUUUCCAGUGUAAGAUGAAAGAUUGGGUAGAUCCUAUUAUACCAUUUGAACCUUAGUAUCUAUUGCACAGUUUAAAAUAUUCAUAUAUACCUAUGUUUAAUGUACAAGAGCAUAUGGAAAUUACAAACUGAUCGAUUUUGCUUUCAUUACUAUGAGUGGUAGCUCAGCUUUGAGAAUGUUGCAGGGCAGAGUGUUUCUCUUAGGAAAAAAGGUUGUUGUGGCAAAGAAAGGGAAAGGGAAAAAGAAGGGCAAAGACAGUGAAAAAGCAACUGAAGGUCCUGAAAAACAGAAGCGUAAAAGAGCGCCUAACAAGAAAUCAGGUAACGUCGCACGUAAACCUGAGAAGAAGCCUGAGGAUUGUUUCAAAAAGAAGUCAAUAUUCUUUGAUUUGGAAUACUGGGGGUACAACAAGUUAAGGCAAAAUCUAGAUGUAAUGCAUAUUGAGAAAAAACAUCUGUGAAAAUUUAAUUGGAACCUUACUGGAUAUUGAUUCUAAAAUAAAGGAUGGCCUUAAUGCACGACUUGACUUGGGAGAAAUUAGAAUUCGAUCUAGCCUUCAACCUGAUGAAGGUGAUAAGGGUAAAACUAAAUUGCCGCAUGCACCUUUUAAUAUGUAUAAAGAAAAGAAGGAGAUUCUUUGUACAGUGAUUAAGAAUUGUAGGACACCUGAUGGUUAUGCAUCAAACUUUCGAGGUGUGUGAACAUGAAAGAAUUAACAUUGACUGGCCACAAAAUCCACGACUGUCAUGUUAUUCUAGAAGACAUCCUUCCUGUGGCACUUUUAAACUGUUAUCCCAGUAAAGAUGUCAUGAUAAUAGUUGUUGAGCUGGCUAAUUUCUUCAAGAAGCUAUGCUCCAAAGUGUUAGAUGUCUCUGAGCUUGACAAACUGCAAGAGAGUAUUGUGAAGACACUUUGUAAUAUGGAAAAAGUUUUUCUUCCAUCGUUUUUUACUGUCAUGGUACAUUUGAUGGUGCAUUUAGUUGAAGAAGCUAAACUUGGUGGCCCGGUGCAUUACAGGUGGAUGUACCCUCUAGAGAGGUAUGCUACUUUCAUUUUAUUUGUUAUUUUCCACGGUGCAUCUAAGUAUAUGAUUUGAUUUAUUGUUUCCCGUGAUCAUAUAACCUUGUUGUUUUAUGAUGUUCAGAUCAUUUGUUUGGCUAAAGUCACUUGUGCGCAAUAGAACUUAUCCUGAAGGUUCUAUUGCUGAAGGAUAUAUUGUUGAAGAAUGCUUGACCUUUUGUUUAAGAUUUCUAGAAGGAACCACACGUUUCACGAGAACAUCUAGGAACCCUGAUCCUUCAGAUAAUACAAAGGGCAUGUACAUGUUUGAUAGUGUUGGUGAGCCAAUUGGAAAGGCUGUCACUGUAGGCCAGUUGGACGAUCAGCUUCUAGUUCAAGCACAUCGAUAUGUCUUGCGACACUGUGAUGAGCUUGAUGAUCUCCGUAGAGAAUUUGUGGAUCAAGAGAAGAGGAAGCCGGGUAACUUAAAUUUGACGGAUGAUGACAAUCAGGAUUUGAUUAGUAGACACUUUGCUGACUGGUUGGAACAAAAGAGAUUACAAGGUGGUGCUCUUCAAAUGUGAUUGGUAUGAUGUUCAUCACAAAGCUGGUAUUUAAGAGAUGAGUUUGGAUUCACUCAUGUGAACUUCUCCCGCAAAAUACAUACAUGGGAGAAGUUAGAGGAUGAUCCUUUUGUAUUUUCUUCCCAAGUGGACCAGGUAUUUUAUAUCCAACAUCCGAGAAGUGAGAAUUGGAAUACCAUGGUGAAAUUCGAACCUCGUGAUAUUUUUGACAUGGGUGGAGAACCAUCUUCUGAUGAAACAGAUUAGUCUUUGUGCUUUCAGCUUGUUAUCGGCAGCUAAGAUAUAGGUUGAGCACUUGUCAUCCAUGCUCCUUGGUAGAGUUGCUCCAAUAUAACUAUUCUAGCUGGGCGGAUCUUCUUCAGAAUAUAUUGUUCCCUGUGUUACUCUGUAAUGAACGAGUCCAUGGUCUUUUUUAAUGCAUAUUUUCCCUUUUGUUAUGAAUGAAUUUAUG